rnacentral:rRNA from 1 species
GAUGAACGCUGGCGGCGCGCCUAACACAUGCAAGUCGAACGGUUAAAGCACCUUUUAGGUGUGUAUAAAGUGGCGAACGGCUGAGUAACACGUGGGCAACCUGCCCUCCUCUUGGGGAUAGCCUCGGGAAACCGAGGAUAAUACCCGAUACUUCAAUGUGGCCGCAUGACGACAUUGAGAAAGCUUUUGCGGAGAAGGAUGGGCCCGCGGCCUGUUAGCUUGUUGGUGGGGUAGAGGCCUACCAAGGCAAUGAUGGGUAGCUGGGUUGAGAGACCGACCAGCCAGAUUGGGACUGAGACACGGCCCAGACUCCUACGGGAGGCAGCAGUGGGGAAUCUUGCACAAUGGGCGGAAGCCUGAUGCAGCGACGCCGCGUGCGGGAAGAAGGCCUUCGGGUUGUAAACCGCUUUCAGCAGGGACGAGGCGAAAGUGACGGUACCUGCAGAAGAAGCCCCGGCUAACUACGUGCCAGCAGCCGCGGUAAUACGUAGGGGGCAAGCGUUAUCCGGAUUCAUUGGGCGUAAAGCGCUCGUAGGCGGUCUGUUAGGUCGGGAGUUAAAUCCGGAGGCUCAACCUCCGCCCGCUCCCGAUACCGGCAGACUUGAGUUUGGUAGGGGAAGGUGGAAUUCCUAGUGUAGCGGUGGAAUGCGCAGAUAUUAGGAAGAACACCAGUGGCGAAGGCGGCCUUCUGGGCCAUAACUGACGCUGAGGAGCGAAAGCUAGGGGAGCAAACAGG